CAAAUGAGAAAGUACAUUUUCUUUAGUCUUUGUUCUUCGGACGUUUACGAAUGCCAAAUUUCGGUGCUCAACAGACGAGCAAGUUUCUUAUGUACACAUUGUCAAGCUGAACCCGUGAAUGACACCCAAAUAGACCAUUUAUGGGACCGACUGUGCCAACAGAAUGAUUUUGAACAUGUGACAUCCUCCAAGGGGCUACGCAAGCACACGAUAACAGAGCCAUAAGGUGCAGUCAUACCAGCAAGUCACAGAGGUUACGCUAGCCACUUAGUCACACAUUAAAGUUACGAAUGAUAGGUAGCUCCUACUUUUGUUUCAUUUGAUGUUACUGCAGUAUUCAUUUCCUUUGACAUAUAUCAUUGCCAGUUUUUUUGUACAUUAUUGCCAUUUUAUUACUGUAAUAUGCUUUUUAGAUGUACAUUUAAUUAUUCUUGUAACAUAUGUGAAUUGUAUUUGAAGUACUGUCAUUCAUUCUAUUUAUUUAGAUAUACAUUACAGGCCCCUAGAGGCAUUGCAUAAAGGGGGGGAUGUACAGGAAAUGUUGAGGCACUGUUGUACAAAAAGGUAGUAAUAAAUAGGAAUACCAACUUAGUUUGUUAUUAUGCUGUCAUAUUCUUCAUAUUGAAGGGAUGUAUAUCUGGUACACUUUUCUGGGUUCUUAUUGCAAAUGCUUGUAACUAUAUCUCUUGUAGGAGAGACUGUUUAUUCUGUAUUUUAUUGUUCUUUUUCCCAACUGGCACGUACAAUGCAUCCUGGGACCAGUCAAGCUGCCGACGACAGCUUUUAGCACUGGAGGACGUUUUUAGUGUACACUACAAAAAAUUCAAAGUGAAUUUAAAUGGCUGAAAAGCAAAUGUUUUGGGCAAAUUUCUUGCUGCUACAUUUUUCGGGUAUGCUCCUAGAGUUGCAAAGCUGCUCAACCAAUCAAUGGCAAGUCGAAGCAGUGCAUCGAAAUAAGAAGCCACUUGGUGAGCGUGUGGUGUCCCACAAAGUGAGGUCACGAUGCCAUUGGCCACUGCCACUUUUUCUCCCACAGAAGCAAUGCUGCCAGAACAGACACUGCCACAGAGGAUUUCGACAUUGUUGCAACAGCAUCGUCAUGGAACCACGUGACUAGGGCCUAACUACAUAUAAUGAAAAGCAAAGCAGCAAGAGGCAAACAUGUCCGCAUUGAACACGGCAACUGGAGUGUCAGACUGGACAUAAAUUUUCACUUACUUGAGAUAAACGACAGUUCAGUUCUGGCUUAAUGCCCUAGGUCACAAUGUACAUUAAUGUGCGGUCCUGCAACACAGGGAAGAGAGUGAUGCAUAUGCAGGUGCAGUGAAGAAAGCUCACCCCACAAUAAUUGCAGCACUCUUCAUGCCAAGGUGUGAAUGCAUGAGGUGUACAGGCCGAGAGUGUGCUGGUGAAAUAGCCAUUGUGUGUCUCCAAGAACUGCACUGCCCUCUUCUCUUUUUUUUUUAUAAAUCCCAAGUACUGCUGCACUUGCCACAACUGCGCCUUAUUACUCAUGGCCAGUUUUAGCCUAACAAGAAUAAAAGGCUUAUGCAGCCAGACAGGC